rfam:Fistulina hepatica ATCC 64428 unplaced genomic scaffold FISHEscaffold_48, whole genome shotgun sequence.
UCGGAUAUGGUGUAACGGCUAACAUUCGCGCCUUUCAUUCUGAACAGUGAUAUUGUAUCGCGCGAGCUCGGGGUUCGAUUCCCCGUAUCCGAA